AUUAGCUAGUUGGUGGGGUAACGGCCUACCAAGGCGAUGAUCAGUAGCCGGUCUGAGAGGAUGAACGGCCACAUUGGGACUGAGACACGGCCCAAACUCCUACGGGAGGCAGCAGUGGGGAAUAUUCCGCAAUGGACGAAAGUCUGACGGAGCAACGCCGCGUGAGUGAUGAAGGUUUUCGGACUGUAAAGCUCUGUUGUUUAGGACGAAAGUGCCUGUUGCGAACAGUUACAGGUAUUGACGGUACUGAACGAGGAAGCCACGGCUAACUACGUGCCAGCAGCCGCGGUAAUACGUAGGUGGCAAGCGUUGUCCGGAAUUAUUGGGCGUAAAGAGCAUGUAGGCGGGAAUCUAAGUCUGUUGUGAAAAUGCGGGGCUCAACCCCGUAUGGCGAUGGAAACUGGAUUUCUUGAGUGCAGGAGAGGAAAGGGGAAUUCCCAGUGUAGCGGUGAAAUGCGUAGAUAUUGGGAGGAACACCAGUGGCGAAGGCGCCUUUCUGGACUGUGUCUGACGCUGAGAUGCGAAAGCCAGGGUAGCGAACGGGAUUAGAUACCCCGGUAGUCCUGGCCGUAAAC
rnacentral:rRNA from 1 species